AGUGAACGCUGGCGGCAGGCCUAACACAUGCAAGUCGAGCGGCAGCGCGGGGGCAACCCUGGCGGCGAGCGGCGGACGGGUGAGGAAUGCAUCGGAAUCUACCUCGUUGUGGGGGAUAACCUCGGGAAACCGGGACUAAUACCGCAUACGACCUACGGGUGAAAGUGGGGGACCUUCGGGCCUCACGCGAUGAGAUGAGCCGAUGCCGGAUUAGCUAGUUGGCGGGGUAAAGGCCCACCAAGGCGACGAUCCGUAGCUGGUCUGAGAGGAUGAUCAGCCACACUGGAACUGAGACACGGUCCAGACUCCUACGGGAGGCAGCAGUGGGGAAUAUUGGACAAUGGAGGAAACUCUGAUCCAGCCAUGCCGCGUGAUAGAUGAAGGCCCUCUGGGUUGUAAUAUCUUUAUCUGGGAGAAACGACUCCUAUUCUUAGGAACUUGACGGUACCAGAGGAAUAAGCACCGGCUAACUCCGUGCCAGCAGCCGCGGU
rnacentral:rRNA from 1 species